rnacentral:rRNA from 1 species
UAGAGUUUGAUCAUGGCUCAGAACGAACGCUGGCGGCAGGCCUAACACAUGCAAGUCGAGCGCGCCUUCGGGUGAGCGGCGGACGGGUUAGUAACGCGUGGGAACGUGCCCUUUUCUACGGAAUAGCCUCUGGAAACGGAGAGUAAUACCGUAUGCGCCCUUUGGGGGAAAGAUUUAUCGGAGAAGGAUCGGCCCGCGUUAGAUUAGGUAGUUGGUGGGGUAACGGCCUACCAAGCCUACGAUCUAUAGCUGGUUUUAGAGGAUGAUCAGCAACACUGGGACUGAGACACGGCCCAGACUCCUACGGGAGGCAGCAGUGGGGAAUCUUAGACAAUGGGGGCAACCCUGAUCUAGCCAUGCCGCGUGAGUGAUGAAGGCCUUAGGGUCGUAAAGCUCUUUCGCCUGUGAUGAUAAUGACAGUAGCAGGUAAAGAAACCCCGGCUAACUCCGUGCCAGCAGCCGCGGUAAUACGGAGGGGGUUAGCGUUGUUCGGAAUUACUGGGCGUAAAGCGCGCGUAGGCGGAUUAGAAAGUUGGGGGUGAAAUCCCGGGGCUCAACCUCGGAACUGCCUCCAAAACUGCUAGUCUAGAGUUCGAGAGAGGUGAGUGGAAUUCCGAGUGUAGAGGUGAAAUUCGUAGAUAUUCGGAGGAACACCAGUGGCGAAGGCGGCUCACUGGCUCGAUACUGACGCUGA